UUCCUCAAGGGUUCAGCUCAUUUUUGAUUGAGGCUCCUCGGUGAAGAUCACCGAAAGAGGAGAGGAGUGGGAGUUUUUGUUGAGGUUUGUUUGUUGCCCCUCUCCUCAGAUCUGCGUGAUUUUUUCUUCCCCAAGUGAAAAAUCAGAGCUGAUGAUUUCCUCCGAUUAAUAAAUCAAACAACCCCACCGCCGCCGCCACCACCACUACCACCACCACCACCACCAACAAAAAUAUCUCUUUCUCCAUCUCCAUAAUAUGUAUACAUGGCAAGCUCGGCUUAAUCACGAGCUUCUCUUUCUUUCUUCUUCUUUUUUACAACCAGGCAGUGAUGAUUUCAUAUAAAGCUACUGAUAGAAGUUUGAGACUUUGGAUAAAUCUGUUCUUCAUCAGCCAUGGCUAGUUUUAUGGUCUGGACUCUGGAAUUUGAUGCUACUGGUUUUAGGGCAUGUUAAUGAUCUGAAUUCCAAGUUGUGGAUCGGGACCAUUAUCACAUUUAUUGCUGCAAUGCCCCAGUGCAGGAAAUAGUUGUGACCACCACCUUGUUGCAAUGCCCCAGUGCAGGAAAUAUCACACAGAUGAGAUAUUUUCUUGUUGGUACCACCACCACCUUGCUCUAUUCACUCGCACCACCAGUGUAGCAUCAUCCUGUUUCUGAUUGUUACCGGGAUGAUAGCUUGUGCAUACAUGACAAAAUUAUCUUAGCCGGUAGAGCUAACAGAAUUACACAACCCAUCAGACGGUAAUAAUGAGAUUAUUACAUAAUAAUAAUGUAAGGCCGAUCAGUGCAGUAGUAUCAGUGCUAGUAUGUGCUUGGGUCGGCUUCUCACCCCUUUAGUCUUGCUUUGCUUGUGACAAUAUCAGUGCAAGUAGUUCUUUGGGCUUUUGUUCUUUUCUCUGUAAAAACCAUGAAAAGGAGAUGUAUUCAAGAUUUGGGGAAGCUUAACAACAUGAACUCUUUUGUUUUCA